rnacentral:rRNA from 1 species
GAUGAACGCUGGCGGCGUGCCUAAUACAUGCAAGUCGAGCGAACAGACGAGGAGCUUGCUCCUCUGACGUUAGCGGCGGACGGGUGAGUAACACGUGGAUAACCUACCUAUAAGACUGGGAUAACUUCGGGAAACCGGAGCUAAUACCGGAUAAUAUAUUGAACCGCAUGGUUCAAUAGUGAAAGACGGUUUUGCUGUCACUUAUAGAUGGAUCCGCGCCGCAUUAGCUAGUUGGUAAGGUAACGGCCUACCAAGGCAACGAUGCGUAGCCGACCUGAGAGGGUGAUCGGCCACACUGGAACUGAGACACGGUCCAGACUCCUACGGGAGGCAGCAGUAGGGAAUCUUCCGCAAUGGGCGAAAGCUUGACGGAGCAACGCCGCGUGAGUGAUGAAGGUCUUCGGAUCGUAAAACUCUGUUAUUAGGGAAAAACAAAUGUGUAAGUAACUAUGCACGUCUUGACGGUACCUAAUCAGAAAGCCACGGCUAACUACGUG